GGGCCCGCCCGCCGUCAGGGAAUUGCAGGAAUUCUGAGGCGUCAUUCCUGAAAAACCUGCGGAACGCGGCCCUAACUCUGCUAUACCGUCCUGCUAAAGGCCUUACGCGUUCUCCAGGAGGGGUCCGCACAAAGCAGCCCCCCACCCGUACGGGAGUCGGAAGUGCCUCUUCCCCGUGAAUUGCCGCUGUCCCUGCCCUGAGGAAGCCCCCCAGAAAUGUCGCCAUGGCCGUCCCCUCGUCCUUGCCCGUGUGCCCGCUGUGCCGGCCCGCCCUGCCGCAAAGGCGCGUUCCUCACUCGAUCCCCUUGGCAGCUGGCUCCAGGCAGGAAUCCCGGGCUGUCUUUCCACAGUUCCUGGACAGUUUCCUUCUGGGAUUAAACAAAUCCCCGCACUGUUUCCCGAACGAGCAACUGCCUGAAGCAAGGUAUAUAAUCCUGCAUCACCUGAGCUUUUGGCAUUGGUUGGGUAUGUCAAAGAAAAAGCUUGAAACUCCUGAAAACCAGGGAGACACAACAUCACAUCUGAAAUUUUAAUUGUCAUCAAUUGAUCAUCUGAAAUGUGGAAAGCUUUGCCACCGGUGCAGAGUUUAAUUGUGCAUGUCAGGUGAGCCUGAUAUUUUCUGAUGAGAGGUUUCCGACUCAGCUGGCGCUGCGGCUGAAGUUAAUCUGUUCCCUGACCGCUCUGUGCUCGUCUCAAACACCAGAGGGCAGAAAAUCCCCACGGAAGGAAAAUGAAAAUGUCUGCUCAGAGAAAAAUUAUCAUUCUCUUUCCAUACAAUCGCACUUGCUAGUCAUUCCUUAUCAGAAAUGGCCACUGUAGGGCAUACUCAAAGUAAAUUACAAUAAAUUACAUAUAUGGGUAUCA